rnacentral:rRNA from 1 species
GACAGAGGAUGCAAGCGUUAUCCGGAAUGAUUGGGCGUAAAGCGUCUGUAGGUGGCUUUUCAAGUCCGCCGUCAAAUCCCAGGGCUCAACCCUGGGCAGGCGGUGGAAACUGCCAAGCUGGAGUACGGUAGGGGCAGAGGGAAUUUCCGGUGGAGCGGUGAAAUGCGCAGAUAUCAGGAGGAACACCAAUGGCGAAGGCAGCUCGCUGGGACGGUACUGACGCUGAGACGCGAAAGCGUGGGGAGCAAACAGG